AUUGAACGCUGGCGGAAUGCUUUACACAUGCAAGUCGAACGGCAGCACGGACUUCGGUCUGGUGGCGAGUGGCGAACGGGUGAGUAACAUAUCGGAACGUAUCCAAUAAUGGGGGAUAACGAGUCGAAAGAUUCGCUAAUACCGCAUACGCCCUACGGGGGAAAGCUGGGGACCUUCGGGCCUGGCGUUAAUGGAGCGGCCGAUAUCUGAUUAGCUAGUUGGUGAGGUAAAGGCUCACCAAGGCGACGAUCAGUAGCUGGUCUGAGAGGACGACCAGCCACACUGGAACUGAGACACGGUCCCGACUCCUACGGGAGGCAGCAGUGGGGAAUUUUGGACAAUGGGCGCAAGCCUGAUCCAGCCAUUCCGCGUGAGUGAAGAAGGCCUUCGGGUUGUAAAGCUCUUUCGCAAGGGAAGAAAACUUAGCCACUAACAUUGGUUGAGGUUGACGGUACCUCGAUAAGAAGCACCGGCUAACUACGUGCCAGCCGCCGCGGUAA
rnacentral:rRNA from 1 species